UUUUUUCUGUACAGGCAUGCAAUGCUCUGAAGCAUUAAGGAAGAACCGCUGCAUAUGAAAGCACAACCUUUAGACAGGAGGCAUAUAAAUACGGAUACUUUAUAUUUAUUUCUGUUUGGCUUUUCCAGCUGCUGCUGCCAUCCAACAGACUUACAAUGCCAUCAAGUUUCUUCUUUAUGCUGGGUUUGGUUGUGGGGACCGCCAUAGCAAACAAAACAAUACUUGAGACAGAUCUUAUCACCUCCAUCACCAACACCACCACCACCAGCACCUUCAUCACCAACACCACCACCUUCAUUACCAACACGACCAUCAAUUAUGAUCGAACUACCAUCAAGACAAGCAUCUCAAGUACUGAAAUGAACGUCAGCACUGAAUCUUCUGGAAACAGCGCAAUAAGUGUUGCUACUACAGGUAGAGCAAAGCCCAGCAGUCAGACUGUCACUGAAACUAAAAGGACCACAAAACCUCAAACCACACCUGCACCGGGUGGUCCUGUGACAUCUCAAACCACAAAAGGCACAUUCCCGAAGAGUUCCACGUCCAGUCCAAAGACAGCUGGCUCUGACAAAACUGGCAUCAUCAUUCUAGUCAUUAUCAUCCUCGUGGUUGUGGCAUUUUUACUUGUCUGUUACGUGACAAAGAAAAGAAGAAGACGCUACUCGGUUGAUUUUUCCUCCAGACAAGAUGAAGUCAACAUCCCUCUCAGCACCGUGGAGCCUGUUGAUACCGCACCUCAAAAUGGUCUGAAAACCUUCGAAAGUACAGAAACUACUGCGAAAGAGCCAGAAGAACUGGAGGCAAAGCCAGGAGGCGCAGAUGAAGUUAAACCCGAAGCACAGGAGGAGCAGAAAGCUGAGACUGAUAAAUCUGUUGCUGAUCCCAGCACUGAGUCUGCAACUCCAGCUCCUGCUCCCGCUCCAGACAGCUCUGAGGACAAGCCCAAAGCGGAUGUAGCUGAGCCUCCUGCACCUGUGGAGUCCACUGUGGAAGUCAAAACUGAUGAUGAGGCCGCUGUCUCCAACAAGACUUCAGUGGAGUCCUUGAAGGAGACAAAUGAGAACAACAGCAACAACGCUGGCUUCAUUCAGACGAGAAGUUGAUUUGAUCUUCUGGGAAGUUCCUCUCGACUGUCCGGUGGGAGAUAUUGUGGCAGCCUGGUAACCGUGCCGUUCCUCAGAAACUUGACCAAAGGAAAAAAGAGGCCGUCGGGGAAAAGGAUAUUUCUAUUCAAAGUGUAUUCACUGAUAACUGUGAUACAAGCUUGUUGGGUUUUUUUGUUUUUUUUGUGUAGCAUAUACAGUAAUGUGGAAAAGUCUUGAGCCAACCAAUAUUUCUUUGUAUUUUGCGAGACAAAUCGGAAACAUUUUUUUAUUUUUAAACAUGUCCAAGUAUACGUGGACGUACAAUAUGUAAUCAAAUACUGAGUUUGCAUAAUUCUAGUGAGGUGUGAAGUUAAUAUUUGUUAUGACAACGGAAAGCUUUCUUGUCAUUUCUUAAAGUAGCCUUCAGGAAUAGUUCUCCAGGCCUCUUGAAGGACAUUCAAAGCUCUUCUUUGGAUGUUGGCUCGGUACCAAACGACUGCGUUUGGGGACCGCUGGCAUAGUGGAUAAAAAUCUGAUGGAUGUUUCUCUGAAAAUGUCAGGUACUACGACUGGAGUGAAAAAACAGCCAAUGUCCAAAGAAAAACUUUGAAAGACCUUCAGAAAGCCUGGAGAACUAUUGAUCAAGACCCUGCUACCAGAACGUCUGGCUUCUUGAAAGCAAAAUACUUUUUAAAUUGAGGUGUAUCUCAAGACUUUUGGACAGUGCUGUAAGCUUUUUCAAAGUUAAUUGUUCGCUUUUCGUUGUUUUAGUAAUUACUGAACUUGUCUUCUGAAUAUGUAUUGUGGCUUUUAUUCAUCACUGGUCAGGUCAUAACCCCUUCAAUAGACUGGCGCUCUGUCCAAGUGUGUACUGCACCUCUUACCCAAUGGCUGACAAACACCAAUCAAACCAUUUUGUUUGGUUUACACUUAUUGUUAACCAAUCAAAAACAAACAAACAAAAAUGUAAAUUUAAUUUAAAACAUUAUACAUAAUCCAUUUGAGAGGCACACAAAAGCACUUACUACACGUUUUUGCCAUAUUGUAAAAAAAAAAAAAAGUGUUAUAAAUUUACAAAGUGAGUGUGAAGCAGAGAAUAUGCAUUCAGAUUUGCUCACUUAAUAAAUACACUGGCUGUAAGUGGUAAUCAUUUCCAAAAUGGUUGUUUAAGAAUCACCCGUUUCAGGCAUUCAGAAAUAAUGUAAAAGCACUCCUAACUAAUGGAUCUAUUAACUAAUCAUUUAAGCACAAUUUUAAACUAAAACAUGCAUAUUAAGGUUUUCUACAUUGGUAUUACUGGCCUUGAUAUAAAUAAUGUAAAUAAAUCCAUGCAUAAGUGUGUGUAUAUACAAUGAUUGGCUUGAUAUGGUCACUGCUACUUCACCAAACAAAGUUAUUUGAAUGCUGGCUCCAAAACUCUUUACUCAUUUUUGGCAUGUAUUUGUAAAAUAUGAAUAAUAUGAAAAUGACAGAGGCUUGUCAGAUCUGAUCAAAUUGUGCUUUCCUCAGUUUAAGAGGAAGUGCUUUACAGAAGCUCCAUUUUGCUGUUUUACAUUCUUCCUAUAACAGUGUGAAGCUUCGUGUUGCACCAUUUGUUAUGACGUGACUUUCGUUUGAAUUUCAUUUGAUUUGUAUUAAAUAAAAACUUUUUUUCUUUGUCCA